rnacentral:lncRNA from 1 species
AGUUCUUGGCAGUGACAACCAAUUGUAUCAAAAACAUAUGUAUUGGCUUUGUAUCAGUCCACAACUUGUCGUAUCAAAUCAAAGAAGUUAGGUAUGGACAAAAUCUUUUUUUUUUUCUUUUGGUGAGGGUUUUGAUAACAGAAUCCGUGUCCAUGUUUUGUGGUAUAGUUUUAGUAACAUGAGUCCAUGUCCACGUAUUGUUGUAUAGUUUUAUUGAAUCAAAACAUAGAGUUUGUCCACGUUAUCUACUAUAAACACAUUAACAUCGCAUUUCCACACAUUACUCAUCACCCAUCCACACAUCACCCGUCCACAAAUCACCCAACCACGCAUCAUCCGUCCACAAAUCACCAUCCACAUAUUACCUGAGUGUCCAAAGUGUCGUUUCCAUUAAGGAUAAAAAUAUCUACAAUCUGUUUCUGGCCCACAACAAAGUGUGUCACAUGUAAGAAGUGUCUCUAGGUGUAAUAGAAAGUCAAAAAGUGUCUCUGUAAU